GUAAACAUGCUGGGGGAGUUGGACCUUCCUCUAAAGACAUGAGCAGAAAGAAAUAGAAAGUCCAUAUGAAGACAAAGCUGCCAAGAGCCACAGAACUUGCCUUCCUCAUCCUGCAGCUCUGGUCCCAGGCCAGCUGUGAACUACAGUGCCUGAACCGGUUGGGAAAGCAAGGACCUCAGUCUCAUUUUUCUAGUGAGGAAGCUGACGUUGCCCAGGGCCACAUGGCUUGGAAGUGUUGGCACAGGAUUAAUGAUCGCACGUUCCCGAGGCCAGUCCAAAGCCUGUGGUCUUUCCACUUUACCUCACUGAUCAAGUGCUGAUCCCAGGAGCACCCCCUGAGAAACCUCCUGCCUGCUAACCUCCACCUCACAGUCUUCCCUGGAGCACCCCUCACACUGAGGCCUAGGCAUGAGGUGAUAUGAGGUAAAAGAAGGAGGCCCCCACGGAACGUCAGGAGUCUUCCCUUGUGUGGUCUGUUUUGCCUUGAACAUGCUAUGUGGCCUUGAACAAGCCAUUUGU